GCCGGGAAUUCGAUUGUUUGAUCCUGGCUCAGGACGAACGCUGGCGGCGUGCCUAAUACAUGCAAGUCGAGCGAGCGGAACCAACAGAUUUACUUCGGUAAUGACGUUGGGAAAGCGAGCGGCGGAAUGGGUGAGUAACACGUGGGGAACCUGCCCCUAAGUCUGGGAUACCAUUUGGAAACAGGUGCUAAUACCGGAUAAUAAAGCAGAUCGCAUGAUCAGCUUUUGAAAGGCGGCGUAACUGUCGCUAAGGGAUGGCCCCGCGGUGCAUUAGCUAGUUGGUAAGGUAACGGCUUACCAAGGCGACGAUGCAUAGCCGAGUUGAGAGACUGAUCGGCCACAUUGGGACUGAGACACGGCCCAAACUCCUACGGGAGGCAGCAGUAGGGAAUCUUCCACAAUGGACGCAAGUCUGAUGGAGCAACGCCGCGUGANUUAANAAGGUUUUCGG
rnacentral:rRNA from 1 species